rnacentral:rRNA from 1 species
UACAGAGGUCCCAAGCGUUACUGAGAAUCACUGGGUUUAAAGGGUGCGUAGGUGGUCUGUUAAGUUUGUUGUGAAAUCCCCGGGCUCAACCCGGGAAUUGCUUCGAAUACUGGCAGACUUGAGUCCUGUAGGGGUCACUGGAACAGACGGUGGAGCGGUGAAAUGCGUAGAUAUCGUCUGGAACGCCUGUGGUGAAGACGGGUGACUGGGCAGGUUCGUGACACUGAGGCACGAAAGCGUGGGGAGCGAACGGG